CUUGCUCUAGGGAAUUAGUGGCGAACGGGUGAGAAACAGAUGAGUAACCUGCCCUUGACUCUGGGAUAACCUCCGGAAACGGAAGCUAAUACCGGAUAUGACGCACGGAGGCAUCUCCUGUGCGUGGAAAGAACUUCGGUCAAGGAUGGACUCCCGGCCAAUCAGGUAGUUGGUGAGGUAACGGCCCACCAAGCCUACGACGGGUAGCCGGCCUGAGAGGGUGACCGGCCACACUGGGACUGAGACACGGCCCAGACUCCUACGGGAGGCAGCAGUGGGGAAUAUUGCACAAUGGGCGAAAGCCUGAUGCAGCAACGCCGCGUGAGGGAUGACGGCCUUCGGGUUGUAAACCUCUUUUAGUAGGGAAGAAGCGAAAGUGACGGUACCUGCAGAAAAAGCACCGGCUAACUACGUGCCAGCAGCCGCGGUAAUACGUAGGGUGCGAGCGUUGUCCGGAAUUAUUGGGCGUAAAGAGCUCGUAGGCGGUCUGUCGCGUCUGCUGUGAAAACCCGAGGCUCAACCUCGGGCUUGCAGUGGGUACGGGCAGACUAGAGUGCGGUAGGGGAGAAUGGAAUUCCUGGUGUAGCGGUGGAAUGCGCAGAUAUCAGGAGGAACACCCGAUGGCGAAGGCAGUUCUCUGGGCCGUAACUGACGCUGAGGAGCGAAAGCGUGGGGGAGCGAACAGGAUUAGAUACCCUGGUAGUCCACGCCGUAAACGUUGGGCGCCUAGAUGUGGGG
rnacentral:rRNA from 1 species